rnacentral:rRNA from 1 species
CCGGGGAUAACAGGCUGAUACCGCCCAAGAGUUCAUAUCGACGGCGGUGUUUGGCACCUCGAUGUCGGCUCAUCACAUCCUGGGGCUGAAGUAGGUCCCAAGGGUAUGGCUGUUCGCCAUUUAAAGUGGUACGCGAGCUGGGUUUAGAACGUCGUGAGACAGUUCGGUCCCUAUCUGCCGUGGGCGCUGGAGAACUGAGGGGGGCUGCUCCUAGUACGAGAGGACCGGAGUGGACGCAUCACUGGUGUUCGGGUUGUCAUGCCAAUGGCACUGCCCGGUAGCUAAAUGCGGAAGAGAUAAGUGCUGAAAGCAUCUAAGCACGAAACUUGCCCCGAGAUGAGUUCUCCCUGAGACUUUAGGUCUCCUGAAGGAACGUUGAAGACGACGACGUUGAUAGGCCGGGUGUGUAAGCGCAGCGAUGCGUUGAGCUAACCGGUACUAAUGAACCGUGAGGCUUAACCUUACA